rnacentral:other from 1 species
GGUUCCCUGCGGUGCUCGUGAGGAGAAUCAUCCUCCUGAGCCGAUACCUAUGAGCCCAGGAACCUUGCGCUGACCGUGGAGUGCCUCCUUCCAGGAGGCCAGAUGCGGUUAUUUCAGGGAUCCACCUUUUUAUUGGGGUUCAGAGGGCAUUCAUCCCACGGCACUCGCGGGGGUUCC